rnacentral:rRNA from 1 species
CUAAACCCCUUCCAGAGUAUCAAUUGGAGGGCAAGUCUGGUGCCAGCAGCCGCGGUAAUUCCAGCUCCAAUAGCGUAUAUUAAAAUUGUUGCAGUUAAAAAGCUCGUAGUUGAAUUUCUGCCGCCCCGCCGCGGCCCCCGGGCCCGGCGUCGCGGCUUAUUUCGGCGACCUCGCGCCGCCGAAUGUUUACUUUGAGAAAAUUAGAGUGCUCAAAGCAGGCCCUUGCCUUGAAUACUUUAGCAUGGAAUAAUAAAGUAGGACUUUGGUUCUAUUUUGUUGGUUUAGCGCCAAAGUAAUGGG